ACACCGGCAGCUCUAGUGGUAGCUGUUUUUAUUGGGCCUAAAGCGUUCGUAGCCGGUUUGGUAAGUCACUGGUGAAAUCCUGUAGCUUAACUAUGGGAAUUGCUAGUGAUACUGUUGAACUUGAGGUCGGGAGAGGUUAGCGGUACUCCCAGGGUAGAGGUGAAAUUCUGUAAUCCUGGGAGGACCACCUGUGGCGAAGGCGGCUAACUGGAACGAACCUGACGGUGAGGGACGAAAGCUAGGGGCGCGAACCGGAUUAGAUACCCGGGUAGUCCUAGCCGUAAACGAUGCGGACUUGGUGUUGGGAUGGCUUUGAGCCGCUCCGGUGCCGAAGGGAAGCUGUUAAGUCCGCCGCCUGGGAAGUACGGUCGCAAGACUGAAACUUAAAGGAAUUGACGGGG
rnacentral:rRNA from 1 species